rnacentral:tRNA from 1 species
GCCUGGGUGGCUCAGCGGUUGAGCGUCUGCCUUUGGCUCAGGGCAUGAUCCCAGGGUCUCAGGAUCGAGUCCUGCAUCAGGCU